ACGAACGCUGGCGGCACGCUUAACACAUGCAAGUCGAACGAGAGAAGAGGAGCUUGCUUUUCUGAUCUAGUGGCGGACGGGUGAGUAACACGUGAGCAAUCUGCCUUUCAGAGGGGGAUACCGAUUGGAAACGAUCGUUAAUACCGCAUAACAUAAUUGAACCGCAUGAUUUGAUUAUCAAAGAUUUAUCGCUGAAAGAUGAGCUCGCGUCUGAUUAGCUAGUUGGUAAGGUAACGGCUUACCAAGGCGACGAUCAGUAGCCGGACUGAGAGGUUGAUCGGCCACAUUGGGACUGAGACACGGCCCAGACUCCUACGGGAGGCAGCAGUGGGGAAUAUUGCACAAUGGAGGAAACUCUGAUGCAGCGAUGCCGCGUGAGGGAAGAAGGUUUUAGGAUUGUAAACCUCUGUCUUCAGGGACGAAAAAAGACGGUACCUGAGGAGGGAGCUCCGGCUAACUACGUGCCAGCAGCCGCGGUAAUACGUAGGGAGCGAGCGUUGUCCGGAAUUACUGGGUGUAAAGGGAGCGUAGGCGGGAUCGCAAGUCAGAUGUGAAAACUAUGGGCUUAACCCAUAAACUGCAUUUGAAACUGUGGUUCUUGAGUGAAGUAGAGGUAAGCGGAAUUCCUAGUGUAGCGGUGAAAUGCGUAGAUAUUAGGAGGAACAUCAGUGGCGAAGGCGGCUUACUGGGCUUUAACUGACGCUGAGGCUCGAAAGCGUGGGGAGCAAACAGGAUUAGAUACCCUGGUAGUCCACGCCGUAAACGAUGAUUACUAGGUGUGGGGGGACUGACCCCUUCCGUGCCGCAGCAAACGCAAUAAGUAAUCCACCUGGGGAGUACGACCGCAAGGUUGAAACUCAAAGGAAUUGACGGGGGCCCGCACAAGCAGUGGAGUAUGUGGAUUAAUUCGAAGCAACGCGAAGAACCUUACCAGGUCUUGACAUCGUAUGCAUAGCUCAGAGAUGAGUGAAAUCUCUUCGGAGACAUAUAGACAGGUGGUGCAUGGUUGUCGUCAGCUCGUGUCGUGAGAUGUUGGGUUAAGUCCCGCAACGAGCGCAACCCUUACUGUUAGUUGCUACGCAAGAGCACUCUAGCAGGACUGCCGUUGACAAAACGGAGGAAGGUGGGGAUGACGUCAAAUCAUCAUGCCCCUUAUGACCUGGGCCUCACACGUACUACAAUGGCUGUCAACAGAGGGAUGCAAAGCCGCGAGGUGGAGCGAACCCCUAAAAGCAGUCUUAGUUCGGAUUGUAGGCUGCAACCCGCCUACAUGAAGUCGGAAUUGCUAGUAAUCGCAGAUCAGCAUGCUGCGGUGAAUACGUUCCCGGGCCUUGUACACACCGCCCGUCACGCCAUGGGAGUCGGUAACACCCGAAGCCUGUAGUCUAACCGCAAGGAGGACGCAGUCGAAGGUGGGAUUGAUGACUGGGGUG
rnacentral:rRNA from 1 species